rnacentral:rRNA from 1 species
CACGUAGGGGCCAAGCGUUGUCCGGAUUUAUUGGGCGUAAAGAGCUCGUAGGCGGUUGGGUAAGUCGGUUGUGAAAACCUGCAGCUUAACUGUGGGCUUGCGGUCGAUACGGGCAUCACUGGAGUUCGGCAGGGGAGACUGGAAUUCCUGGUGUAGCGGUGAAAUGCGCAGAUAUCAGGAGGAACACCGGUGGCGAAGGCGGGUCUCUGGGCCGAUACUGACGCUGGGGAGCGAAAGCGUGGGGAGCGAACAGG